ensembl:lncRNA
AUGAUCCAUAGGGUCCCUUUCAGUUCUGUGGUUCCAAGAUUAUUUUUGAUAAUACGGGGAGGAAGGGUUCCUGAGAAAACAAGCUGCAAAUCUGACUCCCUGGAAGCCUCCUGGCAGAGAGGAACGGAAAUAUGGAUGGACAGUUUCCCCAGUCCCCAAGCUCUCUGUGUGUGUUUGUGUGCAUCCAUUUUUGCAGAGGCCUCCAUGGUGGCCGAAGAGAAUGAUGAAGCACAAAUCCAGAAGGCCAAGGGGCAAGAGGAGAGAGGGCCAUUUUUGGAAGAGGGGGUCCUUUAAGUGCUGAAAAGCGUCUAACUGGCUAAUGUAGGACAAUCUCUUUACAACUCCUGUCAUUUGCUGAUUAGUUCACUUAGUUUUGUGAUUGGGCUUCAGUAGGUAAUUCUUUUUUAAUACUUGUACACUUACUGUUUAGCUUUGUAUACUGCCUUUUUAAGGGUUCAGAACCACAACAGUCUGCUAGGAUCCAGUCUCUGGAACACAUUUUAGCCUCAAUGACAUUUAUCUGUAACACAGAUAGCUUUGAGCUAAAAGUGAAAAAAGGGCACCUAGAAGAACCCCCUUGUUCUGGUGUAGGGAAGCUAGUAUUUUCUAUCACUGAUUAAUGUUGGAAACUCAUAACUAAUUACAUGAUCCCAGCUUUUCUUGCCAUGUUCAUUUACAUGCAAUUUAUAUAAUUGCUUCUGCUUCACUGGUCAGAUGUUUUGCUUGCAUUUAAAUAUUUUCCUUGUAUUGAAAAAUAAUCUAAGUUUUCAAUAUCAAAUUCAGUUUAUUCUUCAGAAUAAUGCAAGAGCCAAGAUGAAAGACUCAAAGAAUCAGACAGAUGAUUUUAAAACAGAACAAAGCCUGGGCAUAAAGAAAACACUUCUGCAUCCAAAAGGCAAAGUUUAAGGUUUCUAGCAUCAGCAUCUAUAUUCCCCCAACCUUCUUGCUGCAGGUUUAGGUUAUCUUAAGGUAAAGGCCGCGGUCACACCAGUGAAAUGUGACUUUUAAUCAUGUUCCUGUCAUGCUUUGGGGUCACAUGGUAUUGAUUCCAGGGUGUGUGUUUGGGUUACUGAGUCAUUUCCUUCCAGUUCAAUAAGUGCCUAGAUCGUCUUGUUGAAAUCAUUUGAAAGACGCUAACCAAUGCGUUGACACUAACACCACCAGGGAACCUUUAAAAGAACAUGCACAAUGACACUAGUUAAGAAACAUUAUGAUAAGACCAUUCACACAUGCAGCAAUGCGACAUUUAAAAAAAAGAUCCACAGGAAAAAAGUAGAAGUUUCUGGCCAAAGGAGGAAUUAUCUGCAGUUAGCAUGCUCACAGAGUAAAUGAUUUGCUAAUGGCUGAGUGUCAUCUGACUGCAAAUGUAUGAUACAAACCCAUUGGGGGAUAUGAAGUAACGUUUGGCUAGGCAGGUAUGGUCAGAAGGGAAGGGAAGGGGAGAGAAGAGAAGAGAAGAGAAAUGCAUUUGCAUGGUGCCAAAAAGGUGAUAAAGUCAAAGGAAGUUCCUUUGGAAAGAGGGUACCAUCGCUGAGCACAGGUGACUCUUGCAGCCUGCAGGUAUCAUCAUCUUUAAGGAAUCCUCCAAUUAUGAAAGGAUUCUACAAUCUCACUUCUUCUAAGCAUCUAUUUGCCAGGUAAGCACCUACCUGUUUCGCUGUAACACCUCUGUCAAAGGCAGAAAAUCUCUCUCUCUUGCCAGCAUCCCCUUCAAGGUUAUGCAUCUUCUUCAAUGUAAGCUGAGUGACACCCAAGCACUUUGAACAAUACGAGAUUCAGGAAUAAAAAAAAUACAAGGCUGCUAGCCA